UACGGAGGGUGCAAGCGUUAUCCGGAUUUACUGGGUUUAAAGGGUGCGUAGGUGGGUCUGUAAGUCAGUGGUGAAAUCUCCGUGCUUAACAUGGAAACUGCCAUUGAUACUAUAGGUCUUGAAUUUUCUGGAGGUAAGCGGAAUAUGUCAUGUAGCGGUGAAAUGCUUAGAUAUGACAUAGAACACCAAUUGCGAAGGCAGCUUGCUACAGGGAUAUUGACACUGAGGCACGAAAGCGUGGGGAGCAAACAGG
rnacentral:rRNA from 1 species